rnacentral:rRNA from 1 species
AUUGAACGCUGGUGGCAUGCCUUACACAUGCAAGUCGAACGGCAGCGCGGACUUCGGUCUGGCGGCGAGUGGCGAACGGGUGAGUAAUACAUCGGAACGUACCCUGUUGUGGGGGAUAACUAGUCGAAAGAUUAGCUAAUACCGCAUACGACCUGAGGGUGAAAGUGGGGGAUCGCAAGUCCUCACGCAGCAGGAGCGGCCGAUGUCUGAUUAGCUAGUUGGUGGGGUAAAGGCCCAACAAGGCGACGAUCAGUAGCUGGUCUGAGAGGACGAUCAGCCACACUGGGACUGAGACACGGCCCAGACUCCUACGGGAGGCAGCAGUGGGGAAUUUUGGACAAUGGGGGCAACCCUGAUCCAGCAAUGCCGCGUGUGUGAAGAAGGCCUUCGGGUUGUAAAGCACUUUUGUCCGGAAAGAAAUCGCGCUGGUUAAUACCUGGCGUGGAUGACGGUACCGGAAGAAUAAGCACCGGCUAACUACGUGCCAGCCGCCGCGGUAA